CUGCCCCGUCGUCUUUGUUUAGAC
rnacentral:siRNA from 1 species